rnacentral:rRNA from 1 species
UGGGGAAUAUUGCACAAUGGGCGAAAGCCUGAUGCAGCAACGCCGCGUGAGUGAUGAAGGUCUUCGGAUUGUAAAGCUCUGUCUUUUGGGACGAUAAUGACGGUACCAAAGGAGGAACGCCACGGCUAACUACGUGCCAGCAGCCGCGGUAAUACGUAGGUGGCGAGCGUUGUCCGGAUUUACUGGGCGUAAAGGGUGCGUAGGCGGAUGUUUAAGUGAGAUGUGAAAUACCCGGGCUUAACU